GUGCAACCAGAUUUUAAUGUGAUGGAGAAGUCAUUGGCAUUGAUAGAUACAUGGCGAGAAGCUGUAGGGGGACCAAGGGGAAGGUAUCCUCAAUACUAUUCUGCAUACAAUGAGUUGAAGACUGCUGGAGUUUGCUUUCCACCCCGAGAAAGAAAAGAGUGUACCAUUUUUCACUUCGCUCCAAUCUCAUGGAGUUCAUUCUGCCUCAGCAUUCGGCAGUGCUGAAAUUAACAUAAACAUAUCAUUGUCUGUUUAAAUCUUUUUGCAGCUGUUGGUGAUAUGAGUCUGUAUACUUAGCUUGCUUGGAAACUUCCAUUAAAAGAUGAACUUAAUUGGAGGACCUUAAUUUUCUAGCUAGCAUUAUGUCCCUCAGAAAGCAUAUCAUUGUCUGUUGAGCUGAUGAUUAGUUUUACUGAAAUUGAUCUAACGGGGCAUAGUUUAGAUCUUAAGCUUGGUAUAUGAGUGUGACAAAGAGGAUGCAAUAGGUUCUCAGUAAGAACUGGAAUUGAUCUCCCCUUUUAGUAAGUUCUAUGUCACUUCAGCACCCUUAUGUGGGAGGAUGGCUUUUUUGAAAUCGGAGGUACAUUGCUCCUCUUUUAUAAAUUAUGAUGCGAUGUUAUGGUCACCAGUUAGUGGGUUUGGGUAUGUUGAGGAUGCCGUGCUGUUUGCGACAGAGAUGAACAAAGUAUCUCAUUGAAUUAGCCUUGGAACGCCGCCUUUUUCG